rnacentral:miRNA from 1 species
UUGGCAUUACUGAGCAUCUAGU